rnacentral:rRNA from 1 species
UAGGGAAUCUUCCGCAAUGGACGAAAGUCUGACGGAGCAACGCCGCGUGAGCGAAGAAGGUCCUCGGAUCGUAAAGCUCUGUUGUCAGGGAAGAACAAGUACCGUUCGAACAGGGCGGUACCUUGACGGUACCUGACGAGGAAGCCACGGCUAAUUACGUGCCAGCAGCCGCGGUAAUACGUAGGUGGCAAGCGUUGUCCGGAAUUAUUGGGCGUAAAGCGCGCGCAGGCGGGUCCUUAAGUCUGAUGUGAAAUCUCGCGGCUCAACCGCGAACGGCCAUUGGAAACUGGGGAACUUGAGUGCAGGAGAGGGGAGCGGAAUUCCACGUGUAGCGGUGAAAUGCGUAGAGAUGUGGAGGAACACCAGUGGCGAAGGCGGCUCUCUGGUCUGUAACUGACGCUGAGGCGCGAAAGCGUGGGGAGCAAACAGG